GCAACAAAUAGAGAAUCUGUAGAGGAGCAGCACAGGCUUGCUGCACGCCCUUCCUGAAUGGAGCACAGGGGCCCAGCUAGAGGCCAACUUGGGUGAUUUCAAUCCUAGGAACACAGACUGUUAGAAUUAGAAAAGAUCUUUACAUUAUAUCUGAGGAACCAGAAGCUGACAGAUGCUGAUGGAUGAGGACUGGAGUCCCAGCCUGAUUGGCUGCCUGAAGCUGCAGGAAGUCAUUUCAUUUUUUCCCAUCCCAGAUUGUCUUCUGAAAAGAGAUUAAUCUAAGAGAUUAAUUGACUUAACCUUCUUUAAAAUCCAAUACAGCCAAAAUGUUUGGGUUUGUUGGCCCUUUAUCUCUAAGAGAUUUUUACUCUAAUCAGAUGUUGCUAAAUGUUUAACCCCUAGUCCUGGGAGAGAAUGGGCACUCCAACUAGAGAUACGGGCUCCUGGGUACCUGAGAAGGAGAAAAGGCAGAAAUAGAGGCGGACAGGGGCCCAAGAUCACAGCCUUUGGAGAAAGAUUUGAACCCUACACUGCCACAUGUUUAGCUGCUUGAUCCCAAAGAUGUCCCUAACUAUCUGUGAACCCCAGAUUUCUCUUUUGCAAGUUGGGACUCACCUACCUUGCAGGAUUGUUAAAGGAAUUAACUGACACGGCUGCAAUUUCUCCCUUGGAGAAUAUGAAGAGAAAAAAAGAGGAGGCUAAGGAUCUAUAUCAUCUGUUGAGCUGGUAAUGGAACCAGUGAUGGAGUAUUCCAUGGCCACCAGGCUAUCACCUGGAUCAACUCCUUCUGCCUCGACCCAGCCAUUCUACCCUGGGAAGUGCCUCAACCACUGGCCAGGAAACCUGAGUUCUGUUCCAGGCUCUGCCACUGACCUGCUAAGUAAUCCUCGACUGCGCAUUUACCUUCUUAGGGCUCUGCUUCCCCAUGCGUAAAAGGGAGACAGUAAUACAUCCCCAUCCUCCACACGGCCCACUGCCCAGGGGUCACAAAGAUCACACGAGACAACAGAUGUUUAAAGCUAAACAUGCUUUAUAAGCAUAAGACCUUAUAAAUGUUAUUUCUAUUUGGAUGGCUUGAGGAAAGAAAGAAAAAUAAUUUGGGGGGAGGGUAUUGACUCAAAAUGAGCCUGCCCUUAUGAGGGAAGGAAGAAGGGAAGGAUGGGCUGGGGCAAAUUUCACCCUACGGACUGAGAAAGUGCUCUCUUUCUACAUGUGCCUGGAAGUGUUGAGAUGAUCAGAGGAAAUGUGUUUAUGUACAAGCUAAGCAAA
rnacentral:lncRNA from 1 species